UACGUAGGGGGCAAGCGUUGUCCGGAUCUAUUGGGCGUAAAGAGCGUGUAGGCGGUUUGGUAGGUCCGUUGUGAAAACUCGAGGCUCAACCUCGAGACGCCGAUGGAAACCAUCAGACUAGAGUCCGGAAGAGGAGAGUGGAAUUCCUGGUGUAGCGGUGGAAUGCGCAGAUAUCAGGAGGAACACCGAUGGCGAAGGCAGAUCUCUGGGCCGUAACUGACGCUGAGGAGCGAAAGCAUGGGGAGCGAACAGG
rnacentral:rRNA from 1 species